UUACACUAGACAUCCAUUCGACGUACGACAACGGCUGAAUCUUCAUCUUUGUAAUAGUAACUUCUCAAGAUUGCAACUUCGUAUUAAAGAAAUAUUGCUUUGUUUCUCUGAUAAACAUGAAUUCCAAAUUAAGAUCAACAUUCUGUGUUUUGAUUUUAUUCUUCACCAUGGUUUUGGCGUCAGAACGACAAGAUCUCACAGCCCUUACGCUGCAUACAUCCUACACUAAAUGCUAUGCUUCCUGUUGUAAGUUAAAUAUAAGGAACUUGUCAGCCAGCAGCCUGAUGUGGUUUUGUCAUAGAUUGUGUUUAUCUAUAAUAUUGAAAAGCACCGAUAUCGUAGGCUAACUAACGGUUGCGUGUACCAAAAUGACGUAAGUUUCAGUAAAAGCUAAAAGCAUAAGAUCUAUAAAACUGUUAUGAAGUGAUGGUUUAUUGGAGUAAAAGAAAUAAAAUUCUAAAGCCAAAAAAGUUAAAUAAAUAAUGAUAAUAAUAAUACAUUGUUAUCAGUCUUUUGGUGAAAGUAUAGUUUUCGAUGGAUGGCUAACUGCGCCAUAUGGCAAUGUUCCCAUGUACAGAAAUCUGUCCACAUCAUUCUUCUAUUCAAUCACCUGACCUGCUAGAAAUAGCAACCAAAUUUCCCUCUCAACAUCCCUUAGUUCUUUUUCAGAGAAAUUUAGGAUGACACAUUAAGAGAGGCUCAUAUAUAGUAAGUCUGAG